AAUAUGAUAUAACGCAUCAAACCUGACUGUGUGAAUAAUUGAGCACUGUGAUUGGUUGACCGUUUUCGUCAAGCGGUGCUCGGCGCGCGCGGGCUUCACAAGCUAAAGCGAAAACCGUCUGACUUACUGAAAAUAUAUAUUUUUUUCCUUUCUCAAAUGGGGUAUUUAUUGUCCACAGUAAAGUUUGUUCAUAUCUGUAGCAUUGUAACUCUCAUCACACCAUCCAGCCAAGUCAAGACGAUCGAGAAGCUACGUUUGAGAAGUGCAGUAUGAUUGAUGAAUGACUACUGUACUCACUUGCAAUCAGGACACAGACAGAUGGAGCUGGAGGACAAAAAGUGAGCAUAGUACGAACAGAUGACAUGGAGACACCUCCUUUUUUCUAGUUGCCACAACAUCAUCAGUAACCCAGGAAACCCAUUGAAACAAGAAGGACCCAGGAAAUGAAGUAAUGAUUCAGGAAUGUUGGGAGACAAGAGUUUCCCCCACAGCUGAAAUCUCCCUCUCCAGAGGAGAAUAGCAAACAGAGUAGCUCUGUCUGAAGCCACAUGAGGUCAACAGUCCUUGGACAACAACAAAACAUUACCCAUAACACAACAGAAUGCAUGAUCUAAUUACAACCUAUAUCUAUGUAAAAAUCUCUACUAACCUAAUAAUAAAUAAAACAG